rnacentral:tRNA from 1 species
AGAAGCUUAAGUUAUACACAAACUAGCGGCCUUCAAAGCCACCAAAAAAGCACCACACUUUAGCUUCUG